rnacentral:tRNA from 1 species
CGGGCUGUAGACCAGUCCGCUUGCAUGGGGUGCUAGGGGUCGAGUGUUCGAAUCACUCCGUCCCGACCA